rnacentral:rRNA from 1 species
CAGUAGCCGCGGGAAAACGUAGGUGGCAAGCGUUGUCCGGAAUUAUUGGGCGUAAAGGGCUCGCAGGCGGUUUCUUAAGUCUGAUGUGAAAGCCCCCGGCUCAACCGGGGAGGGUCAUUGGAAACUGGGAAACUUGAGUGCAGAAGAGGAGAGUGGAAUUCCACGUGUAGCGGUGAAAUGCGUAGAGAUGUGGAGGAACACCAGUGGCGAAGGCGACUCUCUGGUCUGUAACUGACGCUGAGGAGCGGAAGCGUGGGGAGCGAACAGGAUUAGAUACCCCUGUAGUCCCUGUCUCUUAUAA